AGUCUGCAACCCGACUCCGUGAAGCUGGAUUCGCUAGUAAUCGCGCAUCAGCCACGGCGCGGUGAAUACGUUCCCGGGCCUUGUACGCACCGCCCGUCAAGCCAUGGGAGCCGGGGGUGCUUGAAGUGCGUCGCCGCGAGGCGCGCCCUAGAGCAAAACCGGUGACUGGGGCUAAGUCGUAACAAGGUAAC
rnacentral:rRNA from 1 species